rnacentral:sRNA from 1 species
CAGCAUUAGGGAUAGAAGUGGAAAUCCUUUUUAUUUUUUCUUUAAAAUAAAAAGAUUGCAACGUAUAGCCCGACCGCAG